GCUUAGUUGCUCAGCCAUGUCUGACUCUUUGCGACUCCAUGGACUGUAGCCUGCCAGGCUUCUCUGUCCAUGGGCAUUCUCCAGGCAAUGUCACUGUGAUCUUUGCAAAUGGUCCCUCUGGAGUUGUGCAGUGCACAACCUGUAGAAAGAUAUCACAAUAUAACAGAAAGGCUUUCGGCAUUCCAGACUUGAAAAGGAAAGUGAAAAGGAAACGUUCCGAGCAUAGCGGCUGAUAUUCCUCUGGGAAAGGCGCAGCACAGGCUGACCGCCCAGUUCCUCACUGGUGCUCUCUUGUACAUUCUGGUUUCUUUCAGGGAACCAGAUCCCACAUGCUGCAAUUUAAAAUUCCAGAUGCCGCAACUAAGACCCAUCGCAGCCAAAUAAAUAAAUAUUACAAGAAAAUCAUCAAUGCCUUGAAAGAACAAAGAAAGACCGAGGAACACUUCCAGAUUAAAAGAGGCUGAGCGAUAUGAACUGAAUGCCACGUGGGGUCCAGGGUUUCCUUGUGUUAUAAAGGACACUGCUGGGACAAAUGGCAAGAUCCAUGUAAAACAGACAAGAAUGCUGUUUUGGUGUUCAUUCCCUGAUUUUGGUAAUCAUAUUGGAAGAUAUCAUAUUGUAAGAGAAUGUCAUCUGCUUUUAGGCAAUACACGCUAAAGUAUUCAGAGGUAAAAGCAGUAUUAUGUCUGCAGCUUACUGUGAAACAGUUCUAAAAAAAAAAUCUUCCUCUUCUAUGUAUAUCUAUCUAGAGAGAAAUGGAAAAGAAUAUGGCAAAUGUGAUAAAGUGUUUACAUUUGGGGAAUCCAGGUGAAGGGUGUGUGGGAAUUCUUUGUACUGUCCCUGCUGCUUUUUUGUAAGUCUGAAAUUGUAUUUAGAUAAAAAGUAAUGAAAAAGAAAGAAGUAGAUUGCAGUGGGUGCAUGGUUGCCCCCCAAAAGAGGAAAAACUGACCUGCAGUAGGGGCGGGACUGUCCCUGGAAACGCCUGCCUCAGCUGACGCAGGCCCUGUUCCCGUCUCCCUCUGGUGGCUCGCAGGCCUGCCCUGCCCCACAGCCACAGCUAAACUCACCGUCUACCUCACUCACGCCCGGGCUUCUCUGAAGGCCAGGCUGGGUGUGGAC
ensembl:lncRNA